UACGGAGGAUCCAAGCGUUAUCCGGAUUCAUUGGGUUUAAAGGGUGCGUAGGCGGACUGAUAAGUCAGUGGUGAAAGCCUGCAGCUUAACUGCAGAACUGCCAUUGAUACUGUCAAUCUUGAGUACAUUUGAUGAGGGCGGAAUGUGUCAUGUAGCGGUGAAAUGCUUAGAUAUGACACAGAACACCGAUUGCGAAGGCAGCUCUCAAAACUGUAACUGACGCUGAGGCACGAAAGCGUGGGUAUCAAACAGG
rnacentral:rRNA from 1 species